rnacentral:rRNA from 1 species
UACGGAGGGUGCAAGCGUUAUCCGGAUUCACUGGGUUUAAAGGGUGCGUAGGCGGGUAAGUAAGUCCGUGGUGAAAUCUCUGAGCUUAACUCAGAAACUGCCGUGGAUACUAUUUGCCUUGAAUAUUGUGGAGGUGAGCGGAAUAUGUCAUGUAGCGGUGAAAUGCUUUAGAUAUGACAUAGAACACCAAAUUGCGAAAGGCAGCUCACUAACACAAAUCAUUUGACGCUGAGGCACGAAAAGCGUGGGGGAUCAAAACAGG